rnacentral:rRNA from 1 species
UUGGCCACGGCGCAGUGAGCGGGAAGAGCUCAAAUUUGAAAUCUUCAAGGUUUUACCUUGACGAAUUGUAGUUUAAAGAAGUGUUUUCUGUUGAAGUUUUGGUAAAAGUUCUUUGGAAUAGGACAUCAUAGAGGGUGAGAAUCCCGUAUUUGACCAUUAUUUUCAGCUGUGUGAUACACUUUCAAAGAGUCGGAUUGUUUGGGAAUGCAGUCCAAAAUGGGUGGUAAAUUUCAUCUAAAGCUAAAUAUUGGCGAGAGACCGAUAGCGAACAAGUACCGUGAGGGAAAGAUGAAAAGAACUUUGAAAAGAGAGUUAAACAGUACGUGAAAUUGUCAAAAGGGAAGCGUUUGACACCAGUGUUGUUUUCUCGAAAAUCAAUUAAAAAUGGCUGGAUUUUGUGUUGUAUUGACCUUAACAGCUUUCUUCACUCUUUUCCUGUCUUUUUUAAUGCACUUUUCGUUUAACAAGUCAACAUCAGUUUCUUUUGUUGUAAAAGGGUCAUUGGAAGGUGGCUUUCUUUUCGGAGAAAGUGUUUAUAGCCUUUGAUCUCUGCAAUCGGAGAGACUGAGGUCUGCAGCGUAGACUCUUCGGGGUUAGAUACAUUUGUGCUAAGUUAUAGCUUUUUAUAGACAACUUGUUGACUAUAUUUAGUCUUGUAGCUUACUCGCUUAUGCUAUUUUACCUACGCUUAGGAUGUUGACAAAAUGGUUUUUAAACGACCCG